UGAUUUGGUUCGAUAUGGGCUAUUAGCUCAGGUGGUUAGAGCGCACCCCUGAUAAGGGUGAGGUCCGUGGUUUGAGUCCAGGUUGGCCCACUUGAAUCAAUGCAAAAUUAAAAAUUCAAAGUUCAAAACUAAGAAAAUUUUUUUGAAUUUUGCAUUUAGAAUUGUGAAUUGUGUUGGGGGGUUUAGCUCAGUUGGUAGAGCGCCUGCUUUGCAAGCAGGAUGUCAGCGCAACGAGUCCGCUAACCUCCACCUGUAGCAUCAAGCUAACAAAAAAAGUAUUAGGAAAAAGUCAGCAACUAACGAAGUAGUUAGACACAGGGGUAGUACCUAGCCAGAACCUUGAAAAAAGCAUAGAAACGGGAUUUAUAAGAAGGCAGACACAGAUAUCUUAUGGGAUGGAAAGGAAUACAGGUGAAACACCAAGAAAAAGUGUC
rnacentral:tRNA from 1 species